GGGAAACCCAGUUGUAUUCUUUUAAUGUACUUUAAAAAUUGAUGUAUACUAGAUGGUUCUUUAUGCAAAGACAGUUUAAAUCCCAUUCUUCCAUAAAACAUGUGUGUGACUUAUGUCAUAUGAAGAGUCACUUUGCAGAGCCCUACAGGUGCACACCAUCAGCAUUCUGCUUGCUGAAGUGACCGAGGCUGAAUUACAGUCAUCUGCCUGUUGGUCAUUGACAUGGCGAUCUCCUCAGUGAGUUCUGACGAUCACCGGAAACUGCUGGGUCUGUGAGAAAGAAUUAUCUUGGGGAGGAGAGAGAAGACCCAUCUUUGAAGAGAUGGAAAAGAUGAGGAACCCGAGGUUCCGAAGAACGUGGCGGUGACCAGAUCUUGUUCUGGACAGAAAGUUGGUCGUGUGGUCCAUGGCGGGGUCAGCUUGGGGCAAAGUCUGGAUGCCAAUUCCCAUGGCUGCGAUGACGGCCAACAUCCUGUUCAGACUCCAGCCAGCCACCCAGGAAGGAAGCAUCCUGUUCCUUUUAAACAGAGGGCCCGGCCGGCCACAUGGCCACGCUGUUGACAAGCUCUCAUUUGCGACAAAGGCCAAAUUCCAAGGAGAAGCAAGCGAGGAAAGAAAACAGUUAAAUUUCUUGGACAAUAUGACUGUUCCUGUAUUUGCCCAUCGGCUUGAUGUGUUUCAAACCUGUGAUAUCUGAGAUCUUUGUUUCCUUCUUUUGUAUUCUCCAUCACAUGGAGCUAGCCUGCAAGCACUUCUGAGAUGCCCACUGUGUAUACCCUUCACCGUGCCCUUCCACGCCCGACGUCCUGCCCAUUCUCAUUUGACCAACGGUCAGCACUGCUCGCCACAAUCCUGUCAAAGCAGACAAAUUAAACAUGCCAGGUGACAUAUGGAAGAAAAGACUUUCUGAUUUACUAUGGAACUGUUUAUGGAUAAGAGUUAUUUCUCUUGGCCUGGUACCUGCUCUCAAGGCUUGAUCACAUUUCAAGGCACUGCUGCCAUUUACUCGAAUUAUUCCGGGUCCUCAGAUGUUUGUGUGCACAUGGCUGUCUGGGUGCGUGCGCAUCUGAACAUGGUCCAAAUCCUGCAGCGAGGUUGUUGAUUGCAAAGUGCAAAUGAAGGGAAAUUUAAGUCUUCCUCCAGUCCUCACUUCCCCCACGUGGUGGUUUUAAGCAUCAGGAGGGCUACCUCGGUAGGGAAAAGGACUUAGGGUCACAUCUCAAUGAAAAAAUAAAUAAAUCUUUAGUUUAGCGUGGACA
rnacentral:lncRNA from 1 species